AAAGUUUUAGUAUAGUUAGGUAUAUUUCGUUGUCGAUGAGAAGGGGAAAACUUUG
rnacentral:tRNA from 1 species